GAUGAACGCUGGCGGCGUGCUUAACACAUGCAAGUCGAACGGAAAGGCCGAAGCUUGCUUCGGUACUCGAGUGGCGAACGGGUGGGUAACACGUGGGUGAUCUGCCCUGUACUUCGGGAUAAGCUUGGGAAACUGGGUCUAAUACCGGAUAUGACGAUCUCUUGGAUGGGGUUGUGGAAAGCUUUUGCGGUAUGGGAUGAGCUCGCGGCCUAUCAGCUUGUUGGUGGGGUAAUGGCCUACCAAGGCGUCGACGGGUAGCCGGCCUGAGAGGGUGUACGGCCACAUUGGGACGGAGAUACGGCCCAGACUCCUACGGGAGGCAGCAGUGGGGAAUAUUGCACAAUGGGCGCAAGCCUGAUGCAGCGACGCCGCGUGGGGGAUGACGGCCUUCGGGUUGUAAACUCCUUUCGCAAUCGACGAAGCCUUUUGGUGACGGUAGGUUGAGAAGAAGCACCGGCUAACUACGUG
rnacentral:rRNA from 1 species